UACGGAGGGGGCUAGCGUUAUUCGGAAUUAUUGGGCGUAAAGGGCGCGUAGGCGGCCCGGUAAGUCAAAGGUGAAAUCCCUCGGCUCAACUGAGGAACUGCCUUUGAAACUGUCGGGCUUGAGGCCGGGAGGGGGUAGCGGAAUUCCCAGUGUAGCGGUGAAAUGCGUAGAUAUUGGGAGGAACACCAGUGGCGAAGGCGGCUCACUGGACUGGUACUGACGCUGAGGCGCGAAAGCGUGGGGAGCAAACAGG
rnacentral:rRNA from 1 species